GGUUCGAAUCCUUCCCGUCCCAGA
rnacentral:tRNA from 1 species